UCGCUACUACCGAUUGAAUGGCUCAGUGAGGCCUCCGGACUGGCUCGAAGAGGUUGGCAACGACCACUUCGAGCCGGAAAGCUGGUCAAACUCGGUCAUUUAGAGGAAGUAAAAGUCGUAACAAGGUUUCCGUAGGUGAACCUGCGGAAGGAUCAUUACCU
rnacentral:rRNA from 1 species